GAAGGUGGCAAGCGUUGUUCGGAUUUACUGGGCGUACAGGGAGCGUAGGCGGUUGGGUAAGCCUUUCGUGAAAUCUCCGGGCCUAACCCGGAAAGUGCGGAGGGGACUGCUCGGCUAGAGGAUGGGAGAGGAGCGCGGAAUUCCCGGUGUAGCGGUGAAAUGCGUAGAGAUCGGGAGGAAGGCCGGUGGCGAAGGCGGCGCUCUGGAACAUAUCUGACGCUGAGGCUCGAAAGCGUGGGGAGCAAACAGGAUUAGAUACCCUGGUAGUCCACGCCUUAAACUAUGAAUACUAAGUGUCGGCGGGUUACCGCCGGUGCCGCAGCUAACGCAUUAAGUAUUCCGCCUGGGAAGUACGGCCGCAAGGUUG
rnacentral:rRNA from 1 species